UCGAGAAUUUUUCUCAAUGGGGGAAACCCUGAAGGAGCGACGCCGCGUGAAGGAUGAAGGUCUUCGGAUUGUAAACUUCUGUCAUUAGGGAACAAGGUGCGCGUGUUAAUUGCGCGCGUAUUGAUAGUACCUGAAGAGGAAGAGACGGCUAACUCUGUGCCAGCAGCCGCGGUAAUACAGAGGUCUCAAGCGUUGUUCGGAUUCAUUGGGCGUAAAGGGUGCGUAGGUGGCGAGGCAAGUUGGAUGUGAAAUCUCGGGGCUCAACCCCGAAACUGCAUUCAAUACUGCUUUGCUUGAGUACUGGAGAGGAGAUUGGAAUUUACGGUGUAGCAGUGAAAUGCGUAGAUAUCGUAAGGAAGACCAGUGGCGAAGGCGGAUCUCUGGACAGUUACUGACACUGAGGCACGAAGGCCAGGGGAGCAAACGG
rnacentral:rRNA from 1 species